UACGGAGGGUGCAAGCGUUGUCCGGAUUUAUUGGGUUUAAAGGGUGCGUAGGUGGCUAUUUAAGUCAGUGGUGAAAGCCUGCAGCUUAACUGUAGGACUGCCAUUGAUACUGAAUAGCUUGAGUACUGAUGAGGUAGGCGGAAUUGAUAGUGUAGCGGUGAAAUGCAUAGAUAUCUGGAGGAACACCGGUGGCGAAGGCGGCAUCCUGGACCGAGAUUGACGCUGAGGCGCGAAAGCGUGGGGAUCAAACAGG
rnacentral:rRNA from 1 species